rnacentral:lncRNA from 1 species
UCUGGCUGUGCGAAUGCUGGCUGUGGCUGAGGAAAUGAUUAUUGAAGCAAAAGAGGUGGCUGCUGAGCCCUUAGAGGAGAUCGUCAUGGAGGUGCUCUCCCCCAGAUGAGGUGGCUCAACCUCUCCAGCCUGAUGAGCCUCUCAAUCUCAUCACAGAGCUGGAAGCAAUCUUUGGUAUCAUGACCAUGGUCACAAUGGUAGAAGUCGUAU